rnacentral:rRNA from 1 species
UUCCAGACUCCUACGGGAGGCAGCAGUGAGGAAUAUUGGUCAAUGGGCUUACGCCUGAACCAGCCAAGUCGCGUGAGGGAAGACUGCCCUAUGGGUUGUAAACCUCUUUUGUCAGGGAGCAAUUGGCGCUACGUGUAGCGUUAUCGAGAGUACCUGAAGAAAAAGCAUCGGCUAACUCCGUGCCAGCAGCCGCGGUAAUACGGAGGAUGCGAGCGUUAUCCGGAUUUAUUGGGUUUAAAGGGUGCGUAGGCGGAAUGCCAAGUCAGCGGUAAAAUCGCGGGGCUCAACCUCGCUCCGCCGUUGAAACUGGUUUUCUUGAGUGAGUGAGAAGUAUGCGGAAUGCGUGGUGUAGCGGUGAAAUGCAUAGAUAUCACGCAGAACUCCGAUUGCGAAGGCAGCAUACCGGCGCUCAACUGACGCUCAUGCACGAAAGUGUGGGUAUCGAACAGGAUUAGAUACCCUUGUACC